GAUGAACGCUGGCGGCGUGCCUAAUACAUGCAAGUCGAGCGAACAGAUAAGGAGCUUGCUCCUUUGACGUUAGCGGCGGACGGGUGAGUAACACGUGGGUAACCUACCUAUAAGACUGGGAUAACUUCGGGAAACCGGAGCUAAUACCGGAUAACAUUUGGAACCGCAUGGUUCUAAAGUGAAAGAUGGUUUUGCUAUCACUUAUAGAUGGACCCGCGCCGUAUUAGCUAGUUGGUAAGGUAACGGCUUACCAAGGCAACGAUACGUAGCCGACCUGAGAGGGCGAUCGGCCACACUGGAACUGAGACACGGUCCAGACUCCUACGGGAGGCAGCAGUAGGGAAUCUUCCGCAAUGGGCGAAAGCCUGACGGAGCAACGCCGCGUGAGUGAUGAAGGGUUUCGGCUCGUAAAACUCUGUUAUUAGGGAAGAACAAAUGUGUAAGUAACUGUGCACGUCUUGACGGUACCUAAUCAGAAAGCCACGGCUAACUACGUG
rnacentral:rRNA from 1 species